rnacentral:rRNA from 1 species
AGAGUUUGAUCCUGGCUCAGGAUGAACGCUGGCGGCGUGCCUAAUACAUGCAAGUCGAGCGAACAGACAAGGAGCUUGCUCCUUUGACGUUAGCGGCGGACGGGUGAGUAACACGUGGGUAACCUACCUAUAAGACUGGGAUAACUUCGGGAAACCGGAGCUAAUACCGGAUAAUAUUUCGAACCGCAUGGUUCGAUAGUGAAAGAUGGUUUUGCUAUCACUUAUAGAUGGACCCGCGCCGUAUUAGCUAGUUGGUAAGGUAACGGCUUACCAAGGCGACGAUACGUAGCCGACCUGAGAGGGUGAUCGGCCACACUGGAACUGAGACACGGUCCAGACUCCUACGGGAGGCAGCAGUAGGGAAUCUUCCGCAAUGGGCGAAAGCCUGACGGAGCAACGCCGCGUGAGUGAUGAAGGUCUUCGGAUCGUAAAACUCUGUUAUUAGGGAAGAACAUACGUGUAAGUAACUAUGCACGUCUUGACGGUACCUAAUCAGAAAGCCACGGCUAACUACGUGCCAGCAGCCGCGGUAAUACGUAGGUGGCAAGCGUUAUCCGGAAUUAUUGGGCGUAAAGCGCGCGUAGGCGGUUUUUUAAGUCUGAUGUGAAAGCCCACGGCUCAACCGUGGAGGGUCAUUGGAAACUGGAAAACUUGAGUGCAGAAGAGGAAAGUGGAAUUCCAUGUGUAGCGGUGAAAUGCGCAGAGAUAUGGAGGAACACCAGUGGCGAAGGCGACUUUCUGGUCUGUAACUGACGCUGAUGUGCGAAAGCGUGGGGAUCAAACAGGAUUAGAUACCCUGGUAGUCCACGCCGUAAACGAUGAGUGCUAAGUGUUAGGGGGUUUCCGCCCCUUAGUGCUGCAGCUAACGCAUUAAGCACUCCGCCUGGGGAGUACGACCGCAAGGUUGAAACUCAAAGGAAUUGACGGGGACCCGCACAAGCGGUGGAGCAUGUGGUUUAAUUCGAAGCAACGCGAAGAACCUUACCAAAUCUUGACAUCCUUUGACAACUCUAGAGAUAGAGCCUUCCCCUUCGGGGGACAAAGUGACAGGUGGUGCAUGGUUGUCGUCAGCUCGUGUCGUGAGAUGUUGGGUUAAGUCCCGCAACGAGCGCAACCCUUAAGCUUAGUUGCCAUCAUUAAGUUGGGCACUCUAAGUUGACUGCCGGUGACAAACCGGAGGAAGGUGGGGAUGACGUCAAAUCAUCAUGCCCCUUAUGAUUUGGGCUACACACGUGCUACAAUGGACAAUACAAAGGGCAGCGAAACCGCGAGGUCAAGCAAAUCCCAUAAAGUUGUUCUCAGUUCGGAUUGUAGUCUGCAACUCGACUACAUGAAGCUGGAAUCGCUAGUAAUCGUAGAUCAGCAUGCUACGGUGAAUACGUUCCCGGGUCUUGUACACACCGCCCGUCACACCACGAGAGUUUGUAACACCCGAAGCCGGUGGAGUAACCAUUUGGAGCUAGCCGUCGAAGGUGGGACAAAUGAUUGGGGUGAAGUCGUAACAAGGUAGCCGUAUCGGAAGGUGCGGCUGGAUCACCUCCUUUCU